CCUGCCCUUCAGAGGGGGACGAACAGUUGGAAACGACUGCUAAUACCGCAUACGAUCUAACCUUGGCAUCGAGGAUGGAUGAAAGGUGGCCUCUAUUUAUAAGCUAUCACUGAAGGAGGGGAUUGCGUCUGAUUAGCUAGUUGGAGGGGUAACGGCCCACCAAGGCGAUGAUCAGUAGCCGGUCUGAGAGGAUGAACGGCCACAUUGGGACUGAGACACGGCCCAGACUCCUACGGGAGGCAGCAUG
rnacentral:rRNA from 1 species